UGUCUCCCUGCUGCCUCAGCACCCCCAUGGCUCUUGCCUUGGGGUCCAGGUUUCCCUGAGUGUUCCCUCCUUUGGUGUCAGUGAAGUCAUGGAAUAGAAUUCCAGGGAGAGUUCCCUAAAAUAGAAGAAGAGGGAUUACCUCAUUUCCACCACCUCUGAAAUAAAUCCUCAUUAUGGAUUUGCACCUGGGGAGGAAGGAGCUGAUUUCCACUCCCAGCCAGUUCUGAGCAGACAUUUGAAGAGGUCCAGAAAUGGAAAACCAGCCAUAAAGCACUGCAGCUGUGCCACAGAGCCCGUGCCAUGGUGGUGGCACUGGGGAUGUGGCCUCGGGCUCUUCAAAGCCUCUGCAGCUGCCUCUGGACCUGAACUGCUGUGACUUCGUGUUGUCCAAGUAAUUACAUAGGAGACCAUGGAGAGAGAUCAAAUCCUGCCACCCCCCUUGGAUCCUGGAAACGGCCCCUUAAGGCCCCCUCGAGCCUCGUUAGAGGGAACAAAUCCAAGUGCUGCACCAGAGGCUUGCAGGUAAAGCUGUGCCCCUGAGGACCUGCCUUUUCUAGACAGCCCCGUGGAUGGGGAGUGAAACAUUUCCAGGAGAUUCGAUUCCAUCUGGGCCCGGGGAAAUUCCGCAGCUCCAUCACCAAUCCAUCACCACUGGCUCAGGGAGGAGCCACAAAUUCAUCAUCAGCUGCUUCUGGAGCAGCUGUGGGGAUGGCAGGAGGAGCAGCAGUGCAGGCUGCCCUUCCUUGCACGUGGAGAAGAGCCAAAAUUGGGGCAAGGGAGCAGCUUUGAGCCUCUCCUUCCCCUCCUGCCCUGCUCUCCCAGCAGCUCUGCUCCCUGGGCCUGUGCAGCUGGGCUGGCUGGCAGCAGUUAUUGCUGGUUCCUUCACAGCCUUUGCUUUAGACCCCUCAUGAUGGUGGCUGUGACACCCCUGGAGCAGCAGUGAGUGUCCACUCAGGUGCUGUUGGCACAUCCAUGCUGACACUGCAGCCUGGCCCAGGGAAUGUCACUGUUCUCAAGAGCAAAACGCCUUCAGGGGCUUGUGCUCUGUCCCAGGGUGAUGCUGCCCAGAGACACAACCUCCUCCUUCCUCCUCCUGCUCCUCCUCCUCCUCUCUG